GACGUGGUGACCGAGCGGUUAAGGUGAUGGACUGCUAAUCCAUAGUGCAUUGCACGCAAGGGGUUCGAAUCCCAUCCUCGUCG